CCUACGGGUGGCAGCAGUGGGGAAUAUUGCACAAUGGGGGAAACCCUGAUGCAGCGACGCCGCGUGAAGGAAGAAGUAUUUCGGUAUGUAAACUUCUAUCAGCAGGGAAGAAAAUGACGGUACCUGACUAAGAAGCCCCGGCUAACUACGUGCCAGCAGCCGCGGUAAUACGUAGGGGGCAAGCGUUAUCCGGAUUUACUGGGUGUAAAGGGAGCGUAGGCGGUUUAGCAAGUCAGAAGUGAAAGCCCGGGGCUCAACUCCGGGACUGCUUUUGAAACUGUUGAACUAGAUUGCAGGAGAGGUAAGAGGAAUUCCGGGGGUGGGGGGGAAAGGUGUAAAAAUAAGGAGGAACACAAGGGGAGAGGGCGGUUUACAG
rnacentral:rRNA from 1 species